CACGUAGGGGGCAAGCGUUGUCCGGAUUUAUUGGGCGUAAAGAGCUCGUAGGCGGCUCAGUAAGUCGGGUGUGAAACCUCCAGGCUCAACCUGGAGACGCCACCUGAUACUGCUGUGGCUAGAGUCCGGUAGGGGAGCGUGGAAUUCCUGGUGUAGCGGUGAAAUGCGCAGAUAUCAGGAGGAACACCAGCGGCGAAGGCGGCGCUCUGGGCCGGAACUGACGCUGAGGCACGAAAGCGUGGGGAGCAAACAGG
rnacentral:rRNA from 1 species